UCUCCGUUGGUGAACCAGCGGAGGGAUCAUUAUCGAGUUUAUAACUCCCAAACCCUAUGUGAACUUACCACUUGUUGCUUCGGCGCGCGCUUCGGCGCCGCCGAGGACACUUAAACUCUUUGUUUUUAUAUGCAUUUCUGAGUGGCCGAAAGGCAAAAUACAAAUGAAUCAAAACUUUCAACAACGGAUCUCUUGGUUCUG
rnacentral:misc_RNA from 1 species